UACGUAGGGUGCAAGCGUUGUUCGGAAUUACUGGGCGUAAAGGGCUCGUAGGCGGCCAACUAAGUCAGACGUGAAAUCCCUCGGCUUAACCGGGGAACUGCGUCUGAUACUGGAUGGCUUGAGUUUGGGAGAGGGAUGCGGAAUUCCAGGUGUAGCGGUGAAAAUGCGUAGAUAUCUGGAGGAACACCGGUGGCGAAGGCGGCAUCCUGGACCAACACUGACGCUGAGUGAGCGAAAGCCAAGGGGAGCAAACGGG
rnacentral:rRNA from 1 species